GAUGAAGAACGCAGCGAAAUGCGAUAACUAAUGUGAAUUGCAGAAUUCAGUGAAUCAUCGAGACUUUGAACGCACAUUGCGCCCCCUGGUAUUCCGGGGGGCAUGCCUGUCCGAGCGUCAUUGCUGCCCUCAAGCACGGCUUGUGUGUUGGGCUCCGUCCCCCCGGGGACGGGUCCGAAAGGCAGCGGCGGCACCGAGUCCGGUCCUCGAGCGUAUGGGGCUUUGUCACCCGCUCUGUAGGCCCGGCCGGCGCCAGCCGACAACCAAUCAUCCUUUUUUCAGGUUGACCUCGGAUCAGGUAGGGAUACCCGCUGAACUUAAGCAUAUCAAUAAGCGGAGGA
rnacentral:misc_RNA from 1 species